ACGAAGGGUGCAAGCGUUACUCGGAAUUACUGGGCGUAAAGCGUGCGUAGGCGGUUUGUUAAGUCCGUUGUGAAAGCCCUGGGCUCAACCUGGGAAUUGCGGUGGAUACUGGCGAGCUAGAGUGCGGUAGAGGAUGGUGGAAUUCCCGGUGUAGCGGUGAAAUGCGUAGAGAUCGGGAGGAACACCAGUGGCGAAGGCGGCUCACUGGCUCGGUACUGACGCUGAGGUGCGAAAGCGUGGGGAGCAAACAGGA
rnacentral:rRNA from 1 species